GCAAGUCGAGCGCGUUUGAUUUGAUGCUUGCAUUGAUGAAAGAUGAGCGGCGGCGGGUGAGUAACGCGUGGGUAACCUGCCCUAUACACUUGGAGAACAUACUGAUAAGUUUACUAAUACAUGAUAAUAUAUAUUUACGGCAUCGUAGAUAUAUCAAAGUGUUAGCGGUAUAGGAUGGACCCGCGUCUGAUUAGCUAGUUGGUGAGAUAACUGCCCACCAAGGCGACGAUCAGUAGCCGACCUGAGAGGGUGAUC
rnacentral:rRNA from 1 species